rnacentral:tRNA from 1 species
GCGGACGUGGAGAAACAGGCAGACUCGCCAUCUUGAGGUGGUGGUGCCCGUAAGGGCGUGGAGGUUCGAAUCCUCUCGUCCGCA